rnacentral:rRNA from 1 species
CCCGUACCGUAAACCGACACAGGUGGAUGAGGAGAGAAUCCUAAGGCCGGCGGAAGAAGCAUUGUUAAGGAACUCGGCAAAAUGACCCCGUAACUUCGGGAGAAGGGGUGCCACUGAGAAGAGGCCGCAGAGAAUAGGCUCAAGCAACUGUUUAGCAAAAACACAGGUCUAUGCGAAACCGAAAGGUGAAGUAUAUGGGCUGACGCCUGCCCGGUGCUGGAAGGUUAAGAGGAGAGGUUAGCGAAAGCGAAGCUUUGAAUUUAAGCCCCAGUAAACGGCGGCCGUAACUAUAACGGUCCUAAGGUAGCGAAAUUCCUUGUCGGGUAAGUUCCGACCCGCACGAAAGGCGUAAUGAUUUGAGCACUGUCUCGACAAUGCAUCCGGUGAAAUUGAAGUACCAGUGAAGAUGCUGGUUACCCGCGCCAGGACGGAAAGACCCCAUGGAGCUUUACUCCAGUUUGAUACUGGGAUUCGGUACUGCAUGUACAGGAUAGGUGGGAGACGAAGAAGGAUGGACGCCAGUCUGUCCGGAGUCGCUGUUGGGAUACCACCCCUGUAGUACUGGGUUUCUAACCAGUUGCCAUGAACUGGCAAUGGGACAAUGUCAGGCGGGGAGUUUGACUGGGGCGGUCGCCUCCGAAAGGGUAUCGGAGGCGCUCAAAGGUUCCCUCAGAAUGGUUGGAAACCAUUUGAAGAGUGCAAAGGCAGAAGGGAGCUUGACUGCGACACCGACGGGUGGAGCAGGUACGAAAGUAGGACUUAGUGAUCCGGUGGUAUAAAGUGGGAUUGCCAUCGCUCAACGGAUAAAAGCUACCCUGGGGAUAACAGGCUUAUCACUCCCAAGAGUUCACAUCGACGGAGUGGUUUGGCACCUCGAUGUCGGCUCAUCGCAUCCUGGGGCUGUAGCAGGUCCCAAGGGUUGGGCUGUUCGCCCAUUAAAGCGGUACGCGAGCUGGGUUCAGAACGUCGUGAGACAGUUCGGUCCCUAU